rnacentral:tRNA from 1 species
GAGUUGGCCGAGUGGUUGAAAGCACCAGACUGAUAAUCUGGUAGGGGGGAAACCCCUCAUGGGUUCGAAUCCCAUACUCUCC